CCACUAUUUACUCUUCUACUGGAUAUUUUGCCUGAAAUGCUCAGACAAGAAGAAUCCUCAUAUCUUGUGUAGCAAGAGAAGACAGAUUGUUGCUUUCAUGAUAAAAAAAAUCCCUCGAGGAACAAGGAGGCAGAAAUAUGUGUGACAAUAAGAAAUGGCACAAGAGAAAUAAAAAUCAACUUGGACAGACAGCACCUGCACAGAUGUUGAGCAAGAGCAUAGGUACCUGUAACCUCUGAGCCAGAGGCAUGACCUCGAGAUGAUAUUAAGGAACAUGGUAUUCACCAGCACUAUGUGGGUAUGACAGCAAAUAAGAAUGCAAUCAUAUUUUUUGAAGUGACAGACAGGGUCCACCCAUUUCUGCUCCACUGACAGAUUCCAGAUGAAAUGGAAUCACAUAAAGAUGUGAACUCUCAAGAUGUUUUGUUCUACAAAGGUAGUUAUUAUACAUUGGAAUUUAACACUUAAUAUUUCUGAAAUGUAGUCCAUUCUGAAUAUUGUAAAAAAAGGCGAA
rnacentral:lncRNA from 1 species